CUACGUCGUUUGGUUUAAGAGGACAUUGGGGUUUUUUAACAAGAUUGUCACAUCCAUUGAUGUUUAAACCUAAAUAUUUAAACAAGAAGCUCAUCAAAUGAUAUCUAGCCACUGGUGUUAAUGUUGUGAUUUCGUUGGCUGAAAAAAAAUUUAUAAUAAAGCGAACUAAAAUUUGGAACUGAUGAAGUCCUUUAUAUACUACCAAAAAUUGUACACCUGGUCAUUUGAAAGGUAUUAUGAAAGGAUAAAACUUUGGUAAUUGAAGAAUACAUUAGUCUUAUUCGAUAAUAUUGCCCGAAGGUCAAUAGCUGCCCACAUAAGGUAGAAAUUUUCUUCAAACAGCUUAAAAUCAAGAUAUAGCUAUUAAAAACCUACUGUAAGAAAAUGUAAUUGUCAUUUACAUGCCUAAGAUAAAUAAGUAAUUAUCUUUCUUAAACACCUGGACGUUCUUAUAAAGCUGAAGAUAAUCUUAAGAUAAUAUAUAUGUACAAAAAUAAUAUUGAUUUAAAAGUAUAAAUUCGCAAAAGAAGACAUAGUAGAGACAUCUACGUUACGCCCAUAAUCAUCGAUUUACCCUUUCAAUAAACUCACUAAUUUUUUAACUCGGAGAUCGCAAUGCAAUGUUUAAAUAAAUUAACUACUCAUUUUUCCAAGAGGGCAUUUGUACAAAUUUUUCGAUCAACCAAUCUCGUAUCUCCGUAGAUGUAUAUUUGAAAAAA